UAUACAGACACGUAUACUAUACACACAGAC
rnacentral:piRNA from 1 species